rnacentral:lncRNA from 1 species
GUGGUUUUAAGUGGUUUUAAGGCACAGGGAGAGACCAAGGCAAGUUUUAGAGCAGGAGUGAGAGUUUAUUAAAAAGUUUUAGAGCAGGAACAAAAGGAAGUACACUACACUUGGGUCAGGCAGGCAACUUGAGAGAUCUAAGUGCCCUGCCUGACCCUUAACUUGGGGUUUUAUGUAUUUGGCAUAGUUCUGGGAUUUACGUCUCAUCUCCCCUGAUUCUUCCCUUGCAGCAGGCUGUCCGCGUAUGUGGUGACCUGCCAGCACUUGGAAGGGGUCGCAUGCACAGUGUGAUUACUGAAGUUGCGCGCAUGCUCACUUGAGGCAUUUUUCCCCUUACCAGUCGUGCGUUCCCAGAGGAAGGUAGGUCAUAUACUGGUUAAAUUCCGCCAUUUUGCCUCUUGGUGCGCAUGCUCCAGGCUGCUUGCCCAGCUCCUGAGAUCUUAUCGGGAAGCGGCUGAUCACCAGAUCAGGGUGUUUUGUAUCUAUUGAGAGACUGUCCUUGCUUGGAGCUGGCUGCAACCAAUUAUUAUUUUACAGAGACAGUUUAACAACCACCUGACCAUCACCUGAUGGUAGCCUGACAUUCCUGUGGGGGCCCUCACCUGUCCUGCUCAUGUUUGCCUAGCUCCCUACUCUAACAUUUCCACUCUGUGGACCCCAGGUUGAGAUCUUCUGCAGGGAAGACUGUCCUCAAAUAGCCUGCUGGGGAGACAUCUCCUUCCCGUUUACCUUUCCAUUUGCCCUUGCGGUGUUAGGCAAAGGCUGAAGCUGGCCUCUGUGGCAGAGGGUUUCUUCCCAACACGCCAAUGACGCUGGUGGAGAGUCUUAAAAACAGCUGUGCUGGGGAGAGUUCUUGGUGUGUACCUUUCAGAGACCUCCUCCUUAAGACUCUCAAAGACUGAGUCAGGCCAGUGGGAGCCUGGCAGCAAUUCUUAGGGGACAGUGACAGCUUUUUGAGGAGGACUAAUUGGCUUCUAGGGCUGGAGGCCACUUGGGUCUGACAGACUGCCCUGCUGCCAUCCCUCCAGGGCACCCCCCACUCCCUUGCCUCAGGGCCUUCCUGCACUUCUUCCUUUUGUCCUCAAUGUUCUUCACCCCACCUUUUCCACUGGUACCCUCUGCCUAUGGUCAAGGCUUUGGUGAGACCCACUUUCCUCUUAGACCUUCCUGGAUCCCCCAAAGUCUGUGUUGGAAGCCCCUCCCAUGUGCCCUUGUUUGAGCUUUUAAUUUUCCACCAUGACGCUUGUCACACUGCUUUGUAAUUGGCUCUCUGUUAGUCUGCAUCUCUACUGGGUUGUACCUUCCAGGAGGACAGCUGCCAUGUGACUCUUGUAAUCUUCCCACCGCCAACACCCAGCACAGCGUCAGGAACACAGAGCAUGAUGAGCACAAGCUUGUUGAGCAAACAGACAAAUAACUGGAUGCUUCUGUGCAGAGUUUCUCAACCUGGCCAUUAUUGGCAUUUGGGACUUGAUCAUGCUUGGUCGUGGGAGACGGUUCUGUGCCUGUAGGAUGUUUAGGAGCAUGCUUGGUUUCUACCCACCAGAUGCCGGGAGCACACCCACCCAGCUGUGACAACCAAAAAUGUCUCCAGACACCAUUCCAAAACCAGCGGGAGACAAAAUCGCCCGACAGUCGUUGCUUUAGUGAGUGAAUGUUGACCUAAGCGUCACUUCGCCUGUCUUGAGUCUAGGUCGGGGAGUGGGUUCAGUUAGCCAAUCAGAGAACGCUGAUGGGGCGACCAGUAUAUGCUCAUGAAAUGGGUGGCUGACCUCUUGGGGUCAGAAGAGGGAAAAGUUUUACUGUGUGUUGGCUAAGGACCAUUUUAAGUCCUUCAGUGACCGAUUACCACAUGAGAACACAAGAGGGCGCUCUAACUAAUGAGUUCCGCGGCCGAGAAAACUCCUGGAGUGGGUGCUCCUGGGAUGCUUCAGGUUUAGACACCGGGGUUACGGCAGCUGCCGAGGAAGGCUAAAGCCAGCGUCCUGGAUUCAGACAGACCUUUUAGCCAUUAAAUCCACUAAGAAAGAUCCCUGCGCAUGAAGUUUCCUCCUCGGAAAUAUAGGCAGAAGGGAAAGUAAUUUUAAACUCAUUCGUGCUGCAUAAGUAAGGCACCAGGAGUAGGAAUAGGGUCUUUGCAGCUCCCGUGGCAAUUGCCCUUCUCUGGUGGUGGCAAGGGACUAAGGAACUCCCUGGACACAGGGGAUCUGGCUGUCCCCAGAUCAUCAACAGAGACAUGAAGGUCGUUAGAGGUCGUCUGAUCCUUUGACCUCAAUCUGAGCCCACCACUCAGAAAACCUGGAAAUUGUAUGACAUUUUCGUGAUACAACUCGGUGUGUGUGUGUUGGGGAAAGGAACCAACAGCUUUCAUCAUAUUGUCAAAAGAGUCUAGGCUGGGCAUGGUGGCUCACGCCUGCAAUCCCAACCCAAAGGCCUGUGGAGCACACAUGAGGACAAGGCGGGCAGAUCACCAAAGGUCAGGCAUUCGAGAUCAGCCUGGCCAACGUGGUGAAACCCCAUCUCUACUAAAAAUACAAAAAUUAGCCAGGCGUGGUGACAUGUGCCUGUAAUCCCAGCUACUCGGGAGGCUGAGACAGGAGAACUGCUUGAACCCAGGAGGCGGAGGUUGCAGUGAGCAGAGGUUGCGCCGCUGCAGUCCAGCCCGGGCAACAAGAGCGAAUCUCCGUCUCAAAACAACAAAACAAAAACAUAGACCUGCUCGGUUCUCUCUGUGACUUCAGAGGCCCAAGGAGUCCUCAGCACUAUAGAUGCAUGUGGCCCCUCAGAAGACAACAUUUCACAGAUCUGCAAAGAGCAAAGGUCAAAUUUAUUUAAUACAACAUCCACGAGGGUCCCUGCAGCUGUGUCACUGAGGCAAACAGGAAAAGUGAUUUUGGCUAGGCGUGGUUCUCAUCUGUGAAAUUCCACAGCGCAAUGACAGCAGCCUCUCUCCCACCCACUCAAGACACUGUCAGGAAUGUCUUAAGACCUCAGGAGACCACUUCUUUAGCAAGCAAUUUUGUUUUUUGUUUUUUUUGAGAUGGAUUCUCACUCUGUCACUCAGGCUGGAGUGCAGUGGCGCGAUCUCCGCUCACUACAACCUCCGUUUCCUGGGUUCAAGCGAUAAUCUCACCUCAGCCUCUUGAGUAGCUGAUACUACAGGCAUGCGCCACCACGCCCGGCUAAUUCUUGUAUUUUUAGUAGAGACAGGGUUUCAUCAGGCUGGUCUCAAACUCCUGACCUCAGGUGAUCCGCCCACCUCAGCCUCCUGAAGUGCUGGGAUUACAGGCGUGAGCCACCUUGCCUGCCCUGGCAAGGAAUACAUUUUUAAAAAUUAGUAAGAAACAUACACAUUUCAAGUUUUCAAUUAAGAAUAAUAUUUGCUGAUGGCACCAUCUUCCUGUCUUUCAGCCUUCAGCAUGGUAGAGGAAAAGAGAAAGAGUGUAGACAAAAACAGUUGAAGAACAUCUGUGCUUGUUCCACCUUCAUUUUCUGUUUUGUGCGUUGCCUGAAUGAACGGUGUCUUCAGGUUGGUAUUUCACAGGCGGUGCUCCCAAGUAGUCUGGUUUUCCCAUUUGUGGAGGGCGAGGUCAUAGAGGGGACAGGGGGAGGCUGUCUGGUCAGCACUGUGUAUUUCCAAAGAACAAGGACUAGCCAAAACUACAAGCCUUUGAAGGACCAAAGGAAAAGAGAAAAAACCAGCCUCUAACCAGGCCAUGCGCUAGAAAUGAUUGAGUAUAAAAAAGAAAAUUGGUUUCUGUGUAUGAGGGUGCAUGGAAAAGGUCUUUAUCUCUGCACAAAACAAAAUAUUCAAGUUUCAGAAUAUCCCAAUGGCCUUGCCCUGGAUCUCCUCUUGUGCUCUUCCAAUUUCCAAGGAUGUUCCAACUUGGUGGAAGGAGGGUAUGUGGGAAAUUCAACAGCCCCUCUGUAUCUCUUUCUACCCAACAUUAACUUAGCAGGAUGGAUUUAAGAACCGGCAGCUUAGCCUGAGGAAUUGCUGUGUUCUGUGGGAGCAGGGCAGGUUCAUAAAUAAGUGCACAGAGGUCUUGAAAUACAGGGAUUAUCUGUUCUUCUCGGAACAUGGAUGUCCUUCCAGGGAUGUGCAUCUGGCCUUGCUGUCUAAGUUCCAUCAAGGGAGCCUUCCGUUCUCUGUAGCGACAAGAAACAAGGCAAGUUAUGAUCACACCUCUCAAGAUUGAAGAUUGCCCUGGUGGAGAGAAAUGCAAAAUGACAGCACUUCUCAAAGAAAAUGCAAAGCAGGGCUGUCACACACUGGUCCCCCACCCUGCAGGGUUCUCUCUGUGACUUCAGAGGCCCAAGGAGUCCUCAGCACUACAGAUACACGUGGCCCCUCAGAAGACAACAUUUCACAGAUCUGCAAAGAAUAAAGGUCAAAUUUACUUAAUACAACACCCACCAGGGUUCCUGCAGCUGUGUCACUGAGGCAAACAGGGAAAGUAAUUUUGGUUAGGUGUGGUUCUCACCUCUGAAAUUCCACAGCACAAUGACUGCAGCCUCUCUCCCACCCACUCAAGACAUUGUCAGGAACGUCUUAAGACCUCAGGAGACCACUUCUUUAGCAAGCAAUUUUUUUUAGAUGGAUUCUCACUCUGUCACUCAGGCUGGAGUGCAGUGGCGCGGUCUCUGCUCACUACACCCUCCCUCUCCUGGCUCCUGCCCGUAUGUAUUUCUCCUUCUCUCCAUGCCUGCUCUGUAGGGACCAUAGCCUCUGUCCCUGCAUACAUGUUGGACAUCAAUCACAUCAGUCCACCAAGUAACUUCAUCAAGCACCCAUGUACGCCCAGCACAGCGUCCCAAGGGUGCCCCACUUACCCACAGAAGAAGAAAGGCAACUUUGUAAGAGAUCUGACUUCUAGCUCCAGUUCUGUCUCUAGCUAACGUGAGAUGUACCCGUUUGAGGCCUGUUUUUUAAUUUUGAAAAUGAAGGACUGAACUUAGAUGGUCCAACUGAAAUGUUUUAAAAUGAUAUGAUUCUACCUUAAAAAGAGAAUGAAAUUCUGAUAUAUUUUCAACACAGGAAAACCUUGAAAACGUUAUGCUAAAUGAAAUAAGGCAGACAUGAAAGGACAAAUAUAUGAUUCCACUUAUGUGAUGUACCUCAAAUAGUCAAAUUCAUAGAGACAGAAAGUAGACAGUGGUUGCUAGGGGUUGCUGGAGGGGCAAUGGGGAGUUAGUGUUUAAUGGGUACAGUGUUUCAGUGGCUGCUCUGCCUAUGGAGUAGCCAUUCUUUUGUUUCUUUACUUCUCUAAUAAACUUGCUUUCACUUAAAAAGAAAAAGCUCUGGAGAUGGAUAGUGGUGGUGGUUGCACAGCAAUGUGAACGGACCUAAUGCAACUGAAUUAUACACUUUAAAAUGGUUAAGUAUACACUGGAAAAUGGUGAAUUUGCCGGGCGGGCGCAGUGGCUCACGCCUGUAAUCCCAACACUUUGGGAGGCCGAGGCGGGUG